UCCGUGGCCCCCUGGUCAGCCCCAGGCCUUACCGUGUUGCGACCUCUGGGACACCCAGACUCCAGCUGCUGGGCAGGCAGUGGGGGGGCACCUGAGGUGUGGCUCCUGGUAGGCUCACAGGUGCUUCUGUGUCCUGUAGCUACAGCCUGUCCUGCCAGCUAGGGCCCCAGGCCUAGUUGGCCAGCAGAAUACUCAAGGCCAAGAAGAACCGGCCAUCAUCAAGGUCAGGGCCCCCAGGCCCCAACACCGAGCCCCAUACCAGUGGCCAAUCACAGCCGCAUCCUCAGCAGCGGGGACACAGCUGGGACGCUUGCGAUGCACCGGGCCGGCUCCUCCCACCUGAUGGGUAGGGGAGCAUUGCAAGCUGAUUCCUGGGGCCCCGUGAACCCCAAGAGAGCGGGGACGACCCCACCCCAGCUCCCUGACAUGUCUACCCCAGCGCCUAUUCACCCAUUGGGGAGUGACAGUAGUUAUGUGUUGUAAAUAAUAAAUGCCAUAUUUGAAUAUUAUAUUAAAGUCCUGUUCCCUUUAUA